rnacentral:lncRNA from 1 species
ACUCCCAGGUAAUCACUAUCCUACUAUGUGUCUCUAUGAAUUUGCCUAUUCUAGAUACUUCUUGUGCCUUUUUCCAUAAUUUUUUCUUAUAACCAGCCCUUCUCAUCCAAAGGCCACAAUGAAGUCGAAGAAACCUAUAGAUGACAGCUUUCACAAUCCUUCUCUUGCCUUUUCCUGUACUGACGUAUGUUAGAGAUCUGGCUGGCAGCUUCAAGACACUUGGAAGCAAGAGGGCCACUCUAUUAAGGAUCGCUGAAGUAUGCCCACAUGUCAGGUUUCUCUCAGAUGUGGUAUCAAAACAUCAUUAUGGGCCGGGCACGGUGGCUUACGCCUGUAAUCCCAGCACUUUGGGAGGCUGAGGCAGGCAUAUGAAGAGGUCAAGAGAUCGAGAUCAUCCCGGCCAACAUGAAAUAACAAGAAAGUUAGAAAGUCUUCUGCCUCCCAUCAGAAAAUGAGCUCAAGUGUUGUAUCCAUUGAAAAUGACAUCUGAUGCUAAUCAUCUCUGAGUGAACCCUACAUCUUACAGUAAAUUGCAUAUUGCAAUAAAAAGUGAUCUCUCAUGGUUCUUGAAUUAUUUUUCAUCAUGUUUAGUGCAAUACUGUAAAUCUUGAACAUCACCAUGGGACCCAUAUGAAAUGUCACUAGUGAUGCUGGAAGUGCUCCCAAGAAGCAGAGAAAAAUCAUUACAAAAAAAAGCUGACUUGCUUGAUAUGUACCGUAGAUUGAGGUCUGCAGCUGUGGUUGCCCACCAUUUCAAGAUAGAUGAAUCCAGUGUAAGGACCAUUGUGGUUGGGGGAGGACUUUGUGGAGCCAUCACUGCAGCUACGACAGCAGGCAUGAAAACCUUGAAGUUUCUGUAAAAUAUCUUUUUAUCUUAUAUUUAAAAUACAAUGUGAGUACAGAAUUGCUAUAAG